rnacentral:rRNA from 1 species
UACGUAGGGUGCGAGCGUUGUCCGGAAUUAUUGGGCGUAAAGGGCUCGUAGGCGGUCUGUCGCGUCGGGAGUGAAAACUCAGGGCUUAACCCUGAGCCUGCUUCCGAUACGGGCAGACUAGAGGUAUGCAGGGGAGAACGGAAUUCCUGGUGUAGCGGUGAAAUGCGCAGAUAUCGGGAAGAACACCCGUGGCGAAGGCGGUUCUCUGGGACGGUACUGACGCUGAGACGCGAAAGCGUGGGGAGCGAACAGG